CCGUUGACUGUGGGCCUGCCCGCAUGAAUAUAAGCCCUUGGUGAGGUUUUUUGGAAAGAAAUGGUUCUCUUAGGCUGGCUGUUCUCUGCGAAAGGUCAGCUUCGGGGCACGGCUUGACGGAUGGGCUGCUUGUGCUGCUGCCCGGGUGAUGGAUGGCUUCUCCUCCCUCGGGGCUCGCCUCGCCACAGCUGGGGGAGCACGGGCAGUGUUUGUUGUAGGAAAAAGUGUAUAAAAACAAACCCUAGACAACUGGAGUAAAUACUCUCAACACAUCAGUCGAGGAGAAGUCAGGAUCCAAUGUUUCCAUCCUUCCUCAUUCUGGGCCGAGCUGGAAGGAAAAAAAGGCUCUGCCCGUUUUCUAACUCCCUGGUGUUGUUGGAGACCUAUGUCAGGACAAGAUGAACCCGGCUGCCGAUCGCUGUUGAGAUCCUGCUGCAUUGGGCAGUCAGGUAACCUGGGCAGAAGCUGGAUGAUCAGGGUAGAUGAUCUUCUGAAAACGAUGAGAAGUUGGGCUCUUAACAUGAAGAAAUUUCUUAGUGGAAGCUCUUUGGCUAUAAGGAAGAGAAACCCCUCGAACAAAGUCAAAGGACCAGGAUGUACUGAAAGGACACAACAGCCCUUCGCACAGACAUGAAGGAGAACCAUCCCAACGGGAGGAUGGAAUCCCAGCAGACACCUUUACUUCUUUCCUGGAGACACACCCAGGAAGUGAGAAGAUGACA